GAUGAACGCUGGCUACAGGCUUAACACAUGCAAGUCGAGGGGAAACGCCGGGGAAGCUUGCUUCCCCGGGCGUCGACCGGCGCACGGGUGAGUAACGCGUAUCCAACCUGCCUCUGACUGAGGGAUAACCCGUCGAAGGUCGGCCUAAUACCUCAUGGCAUCGUCUGCGGGCAUCCAACGACGAUUAAAGAUUUCAUCGGUCAGAGAUGGGGAUGCGUCUGAUUAGCUUGUUGGCGGGGUAACGGCCCACCAAGGCGACGAUCAGUAGGGGUUCUGAGAGGAAGGUCCCCCACAUUGGAACUGAGACACGGUCCAAACUCCUACGGGAGGCAGCAGUGAGGAAUAUUGGUCAAUGGGCGAGAGCCUGAACCAGCCAAGUAGCGUGCAGGAUGACGGCCCUAUGGGUUGUAAACUGCUUUUAUGCGGGGAUAAAGUGAGGGACGUGUCCUUCAUUGCAGGUACCGCAUGAAUAAGGACCGGCUAAUUCCGUG
rnacentral:rRNA from 1 species